AUUGAACGCUGGCGGCAGGCCUAACACAUGCAAGUCGAGCGGAUGAGUGGAGCUUGCUCCAUGAUUCAGCGGCGGACGGGUGAGUAAUGCCUAGGAAUCUGCCUGGUAGUGGGGGACAACGUUUCGAAAGGAACGCUAAUACCGCAUACGUCCUACGGGAGAAAGUGGGGGAUCUUCGGACCUCACGCUAUCAGAUGAGCCUAGGUCGGAUUAGCUAGUGGGUGAGGUAAAGGCUCACCAAGGCGACGACCCGUAACUGGUCUGAGAGGAUGAUCAGUCACACUGGAACUGAGACACGGUCCAGACUCCUACGGGAGGCAGCAGUGGGGAAUAUUGGACAAUGGGCGAAAGCCUGAUCCAGCCAUGCCGCGUGUGUGAAGAAGGUCUUCGGAUUGUAAAGCACUUUAAGUUGGGAGGAAGGGCAGUAAGUUAAUACCUUGCUGUUUUGACGUUACCAACAGAAUAAGCACCGGCUAACUUCGUGCCAGCCGCCGCCGUAACAC
rnacentral:rRNA from 1 species